rnacentral:rRNA from 1 species
GACGUAGGGCGCGAGCGUUGUCCGGAAUUAUUGGGCGUAAAGAGCUCGUAGGCGGCUUGUCGCGUCGGAUGUGAAAGCCCGGGGCUUAACUCCGGGUCUGCAUUCGAUACGGGCAGGCUAGAGUUCGGUAGGGGAGAUCGGAAAUUCCUGGUGUAGCGGUGAAAUGCGCAGAUAUCAGGAGGAACACCGGUGGCGAAGGCGGGUCUCUGGGCCGAUACUGACGUGAGGAGCGAAAGCGUGGGGAGCGAACAGG